GUGAAUCAUCGAAUCUUUGAACGCAAAUUGCGCUUACUGGCAUCCCGGGAAGUAUGCCUGUUUGAGGGUCAAUAUUAACAAUACAUCGGUUUGGUUGCAAAUUGUGACGCUUCCGGAGUUUGGGCUAUCUUAACUUUUUUGGGUAAGGGGCUUAAAAUUGACCUUAUUUGCGCUUUUUUAGACGUUCAUAAAUUUUUUUUUUAUUCGUCUAUUCUUAAUGCCAAAAUCUGAUUAGAUGCGAUCUCAUCGUGUGGAUUCGUGUCCA
rnacentral:misc_RNA from 1 species